rnacentral:lncRNA from 1 species
CUAAAUAUAAUACAUAUGCAUUGUUUGCUAUUAUAAAAGCAUGGAGUGCUUCUGUCGUCCGUCGUCGCGGCUAUUUUACAAAUAAGCCCUUGUGUUUUAUGAAAAUAAACCUGAAUACAAAAAUAAGUGAGAAAAAAUGAUUUGUUUUUUAUAAAAAGGACCCUGGCAGCAUCACUCCGGCGCGCCUCCGCCCCUUCUCCUUCUCCCCCGUCCAGAGCAGGGAAGAGAGCGCGCCUCCCCCCCACGGAUCCUCCUCCUCCCCCUCCCCUCGCUGCGCGGAUCCGUCUGCGUCGGGGUCUCUCGCGCGCUGGCGGGUCGGCUUCAAGCGGGCUCUGCUUUGAGCAGGGUGAACGGCCGGGGAGAGGCCGGGCAGAGCGCUGCAGACAGGUCGCCGGCCGGGGAGAGCACGGCGGACAUGCCCCCGACAAAGGUAGCGGCAAGAUCAAGGCUAGCUGGCCUUCCAGCUCGCUCGUCAACAAGCAAUGAGAGAGAUGUAGCGAGAGAAAAUAGACUGAGCGAGCUCAUGGCUGUGUAGCACGGGAUCCGUCAUGGUGGUGUGAGGUAGCAGGAGGAGGAAUGGAGAUGAUGUGUGGUGGCUGUGCAGCGAGGGAUCUGUCAUGGUUGUGUGAGGUAGCAGGAGGAGGAAUGGAGAUGAUGUGUGGUGGCUGUGCAGCGGGGGAUCUGCCAUGAUGGUGUGAGGUACCAGGAGGAGGAAAUGAUGUGUGGAUACGGAGCAUCCAGUGCGGCUCAUUGAGGAUUUGGUGACGGUUGCUUCUUUCUUUAUCAAUGUUGUUGCUGGAUCCGCCAAUUAAAAAAACAAUGCUCAUCCAUUGAAUUUAUGUGCGACUAUUCAUGGCGUUUGAACAAAAAAAAUGAAUAUUCUUUCAAAAAUGGUUAUCUGCUAGGUGUCUCUUGGGUUCACUGUGAUUAUUUGACUGUACCGCCUUACAUUUUGUUGGCAACA